AUUUUGACCUCGGAUCAGGUAGGGAUACCCGCUGAACUUAAGCAUAUCAAUAAGCGGAGGAAAAGAAACCAACAGGGAUUGCCCUAGUAACGGCGAGUGAAGCGGCAACAGCUCAAAUUUGAAAUCUGGCUCUUUCAGGGUCCGAGUUGUAAUUUGUAGAGGGUGCUUUGGAGUUGACUGUGGUCUAAGUUCCUUGGAACAGGACGUCGCAGAGGGUGAGAAUCCCGUAUGCGGCCGCCAGUCUUCUCCGUGUAAAGCCCCUUCGACGAGUCGAGUUGUUUGGGAAUGCAGCUCUAAAUGGGAGGUAAAUUUCUUCUAAAGCUAAAUAUUGGCCAGAGACCGAUAGCGCACAAGUAGAGUGAUCGAGAGAUGAAAAGCACUUUGGAAAGAGAGUCAAAAAGCACGUGAAAUUGUUGAAAGGGAAGCGCUUGCAGCCAGACUUGCCUGUAGUUGCUCAUCCGGGCUUUUGCCCGGUGCACUCUUCUAUAGGCAGGCCAGCAUCAGUCGCGGCGGUUGGAUAAAUGUCUGCACAAUGUACCUCUCUUCGGGGAGGACUUAUAGGGCAGACGGCAUACAACCAGCUGCGAUUGAGGUCCGCGCAUCUGCUAGGAUGCUGGCGUAAUGGCUGUAGGCGGCCCGUCUUGAAACACGGACCAAGGAGUCUAACAUCUAUGCGAGUGUUUGGGUGUCAAGCCCGAGCGCGUAAUGAAAGUGAACGGAGGUGGGAACCCCUCGGGGUGCACCAUCGACCGAUCCUGAUGUCUUCGGAUGGAUUUGAGUAAGAGCAUAGCUGUUGGGACCCGAAAGAUGGUGAACUAUGCCUGAAUAGGGUGAAGCCAGAGGAAACUCUGGUGGAGGCUCGCAGCGGUUCUGACGUGCAAAUCGAUCGUCAA
rnacentral:rRNA from 1 species